rnacentral:lncRNA from 1 species
GUGGCAGUCCACUCAUCUUUCCCUGGCAGGUAGUCACACUAAUUAACUCUAUUUCACUUGCCUCUCCUAUUCAUAAAUUUAUCUAUAACUUGGAUGUCACAAUCACUAAUUAAGUUUAUUUCACUUGCCUCUCCUACAUCUCAUUUGUUGGAACUAAAGGUUAUUAUUCCUAGGCAUCUUGGAGGUCUGGGUAUUCCUAACAUCGACCUUUCUUAGUUGGCUCUUCAGACCAAAACAGUUGUCUUAUCUUUCUAGAACCGAUAAUAUUUGGUUUCGUGCUGUGGCUUAGUAUGGCUUUACUCAUCGUAGGAGGGUUGUUUUUCAACAUAAUAUGAUAUGAUUUGGGUGCUUAUUUCUUAAAGCUUUGGAUGCAUUUAAAUUUGGUUUCUCGUUGUCGAUUGAAGAUGGUUUGUCUAUUGAUGUUUGGAAUGAUGAUUGGUUUUUUGAUGUUCCAAUGAAUCUCAAGCCAACUUUUCUGUAUAUGGAUGCUUUUUAUGGAAUUUCUUCUGUUUCUGAUCUGAUUACUAAUGAAUGGUUCUUGGAACUAAUGAUUUGUUGCGCUCCUUGUUUGGGGAGGUUUCUACUGGUGUAAUUUCUUUGAUAGAUAUGUCACUUAAUCCCUUUGAUGAUAAAUGGAAAUGAAAGCUUACAACUAAACCAUCAGAAAGUGCUCACAUGUAUUUAUCUCAAAAGUAUGCAUCCUCACUUGUUACUGAAAUUAACUGGUUUAGCUUGUGGAAGUCUGAUUGUAUUCCCCGGAUUGCUUGUUUUUGUUGAAAAUUUCUGCAUCAACCUCUUCCUACUAAUUAUAUCAUACAAUUUGGUAUUUUGGAGGCUAAAACUUGCUUUCUUUGCCAUCAACAAUCCGAUAGUGUACAUCACAUAUUAUUU